rnacentral:lncRNA from 1 species
AUUAAAACAUAAUUUUCUGUUUUCUGGAUACAUGUUGAAGUAUAUGCGAUAUCAUUUGCCUAGUGAUCGAAGGGGCUCAAAAUCAAUAAUUUUAACGGUCAUGGUGAAACGAUAUUAAAAAAUCGCAAAAUUUAUUUUCUAGGUACUUCAAAUACUCUAGAUCAACUCUAACGGAGCCGAUCGUCGAUUCGAAAGUCCGAACAUUGAAAACAAAGUGGAAGCACGGAGCCCUCCGUGCUUCCAUAAGCAUCCUAACCGCACUAUAUAUAUAUAUAUAUGUGGAUGUCAACGCAACGGGAUGGAUUCGAACCCGAACCCAACUCCAAAUCAGAAACCCCUACCCAAACCUGACAGGUUUUAAAAAUUCAUACUUAAAUCCGAACUCGAUAAAAAAUUUGAAAUCCGAAUCCGAACCCGAACCCGAACCAAAAAAUCUAAACCCGAAACAAUUAUUUCUCUUUUCAAUAUUUCAAUAUAUAUUAUAUUAAACCUAUUUUUUUUUAAAUACAAAUUCAAAUAUAACAUCAAAUUUUAUAUACAUAUUAUAUAUAAUAAUGUAAAAUAAAUUCGGAUUCGGGCCAAGUUCAAGUUCGGAUCGGAUACAAUCAAAAUCCAUAUCUAAAUGAAUAUCCGUCGGGUUUUUAUUUUUGAUAUCCAUGUCCGAAAUCAUAUCCAUUUAGCAUCAGGUAAAUCCGCUCCGUUCGGAUUCGGAUUCGGAUAAAAUUUCGGGUAUCCGUACCCAUUA